UACGUAGGGUGCGAGCGUUAAUCGGAAUUACUGGGCGUAAAGCGUGCGCAGGCGGUUCUCCAAGUCCGGUGUGAAAGCCCCGGGCUCAACCUGGGGAUGGCAGUGGAAACUAGGGGUCUGGAAUCUGGCAGAGGGGGGUGGAAUGCCGCGUGUAGCAGUGAAAUGCGUAGAGAUGCGGCGGAACACCGAUGGCGAAGGCAGCCCCCUGGGCUGAGAUUGACGCUCAGGCACGAAAGCGUGGGGAGCAAACAGG
rnacentral:rRNA from 1 species